UGGAAUGAUGAUUUUUAGACUAGAGUCUCUGAAAUAAAAAAAAACAUGAAGUUGUUUUCACAGUACACUGACCA
rnacentral:snoRNA from 1 species